GUAGUUAGCCGGAGCUUCCUCCAUGGGUACCGUCAUUAUCGUCCCCAAGGACAGGAGUUUACAAUCCGAAAACCUUCUUCCUCCACGCGGCAUCGCUGCAUCAGGCUUUCGCCCAUUGUGCAAUAUUCCCCACUGCUGCCUCCCGUAGGAGUCUGGGCCGUGUCUCAGUCCCAGUGUGGCCGUUCAGCCUCUCAGCUCGGCUACCCAUCGUCGGCUUGGUGCGCCGUUACCGCACCAACUACCUAAUGGGACGCGAGUCCAUCUCAAAGCGCCUCAGCUUUGACCCCUUUGCCAUGCGGCAUUGUGGUCUUAUGCGGUAUUAGCAACGAUUUCUCGUUGUUAUCCCCCUCUUCAAGGCAGGUUACUCACGCGUUACUCACCCGUCCGCCACUAAAUCAACCGAAUUCCAUCCGAAAACUUCCUUCUGUUGACUCCGUUCGACUUGCAUGUGUUAGGCACGCCGCCAGCGUUCGUCCUGAGCCAGAAUCAAACUCUGA
rnacentral:rRNA from 1 species